CACGAGCAACAGACAUUGGAUUUGACUAGACUUAGACAGUCUGAGUCUCACAAAAUUCUUUCUGCACUGACCACAGGGUGGUUGAGAUGUGGAUGUGUGUCGAAGACAGAGAGCCUGUGAGGAAUGAAGAAGAAACCAGGAGCCGGGGUUGAGGUGCCGGUGCACGUGCGGCCCCAGUGGACAGAGUCAGUGGGCGUCUGAAGUUCUCACCCUCCUCCUUACCAGGAGCCCAUCAUGUCUGCAAGAUCUUUUUUUCUAAGUGAAGAGUCCUUCUGCCCUUUUGCCCACUACCCCUGCUUCCCUGAUGUGGAGGUCUUUCCCCCAGUGAUGGAGUCUCUGGGGCCCUUGUCCUAAAGCAACUGCCAUGGCCCGCAGGACUUAUUUCUGGAAUGUGAAUGGCUGAAUCAAGGACCAUGGACACUGAGGAGGAUUCGAAAUACAUCAUAAUAAACAUCAUUUCAUUGUUUA